GUGAAAGUGAAAUCAAAUCCAAUGAGUUUCCCCCUCCAUGUAGUAUAAAGCCACUAUUGAGAUGAUCUUAAAGUCAAUCCACGCUAAUCUGAAGAACCUCAUCUGACAAACACCAUCUGUAACUUUGGGUGUACUGAACUUUACAGACUCUUCUAGCUCUUCAGAAGUUAUCUGGUGACGGAAUCCGAAGGCACAUAAAACCGAGACGGCAUGGACAUCUUUAAUAUAGUGGGUUCGGCUGUGCUUGGUGUGACCGAGUGUGCGCUUGGUGUGACCAGAGCUGUUGUGGAUGUUCCCUUAGGGAUCGUGAAAGGAGCGGUUUACAGCACCGUAGAGGCCGGCGGUAAAAUGAUGAGUGUUGGCUCUCCAACUGAAGCGCUCGGGGCUACUUUUGUUCUGUUGGCGUCUCCAGUGACUGGCGCCGUGGUCGGAGGAACUAGUGAGGUUUUCAAGGCACCAGAAAAAGUUGUCCAAGGUGUUGUUAAGGGUGUAAAGAGGGUUUUUGACGAUUAAGACAGUCGUAAGGUUUCAGAUUGAUGUUGAACUAACUGCACUGCCGGCUGCCUAUUAGAAUAAAUACAGGCUGCAUAAAUGACAAAAACAUCACACAACUAUAAUUUAGGAACACAGAUUGUUUGUCUCUGUUCCUUCUGUCCUCAGUGUUUGAAUACCUGUAAUACACCAUGUCACAUGUCAUCUUCUUUCUUCAGAAAACAUGAUACAGCCGAGAAGCGUUUAGAGCUUCUUCAUGAUCACUGUCUAUUAUGACAACAUAUAGCAUUUCAUUUCCAUCAAAAGAAGGGGUUCUUAUUGUAUAUGAUUAUGUUGCAGUGUUAUGGAUCAAGUGAAACCUGUUAUAAAUUAUAAAAGCAUGUAAAUAAAGAUUGUA